rnacentral:rRNA from 1 species
GACGAACGCUGGCGGCGUGCUUAACACAUGCAAGUCGAACGGAAAGGCCCUGCUUUUGUGGGGUGCUCGAGUGGCGAACGGGUGAGUAACACGUGAGUAACCUGCCCUUGAUUUUGGGAUAACUUCAGGAAACUGGGGCUAAUACCGGAUAGGAGCUCCUGCUGCAUGGUGGGGGUUGGAAAGUUUCGGCGGUUGGGGAUGGACUCGCGGCUUAUCAGCUUGUUGGUGGGGUAGUGGCUUACCAAGGCUUUGACGGGUAGCCGGCCUGAGAGGGUGACCGGCCACAUUGGGACUGAGAUACGGCUCAGACUCCUACGGGAGGCAGCAGUGGGGAAUAUUGCACAAUGGGCGGAAGCCUGAUGCAGCAACGCCGCGUGCGGGAUGACGGCCUUCGGGUUGUAAACCGCUUUCGCCUGUGACGAAGCGUGAGUGACGGUAAUGGGUAAAGAAGCACCGGCUAACUACGUG